UAGCAUUUGCUUCUUUAGAAUCUGAAAUGCUGUUGUGUAAAAGCAAGAUGAUGAGAUCUGAACUUUUUGUAACAUCACACGAAACCACCAUUGUCCCCCCUCGCAAUUCAGAUGAAAAAAUAACCCAUGCCAAAGCUUAUUCAAGAGCAGUAAACGAGAUCACCAUCAAGCAUUUAAUGAUGAAA